UACGUAGGGGGCUAGCGUUGUCCGGAUUUAUUGGGCGUAAAGAGCGUGUAGGCGGCCAGGUAGGUCCGGUGUGAAAACUCGAGGCUUAACCUCGAGAUGUCAUCGGAAACCAUUUGGCUAGAGUCCGGAAGAGGAGAGUGGAAUUCCUGGUGUAGCGGUGAAAUGCGUAGAUAUUGGGAGGAACACCAGUGGCGAAGGCGGCUCACUGGACUGGUACUGACGCUGAUGCGCGAAAGCGUGGGGAGCAAACGGG
rnacentral:rRNA from 1 species